CCCUAAUGAGGAAAAUCUAGCAAAUCCUGCUGAAUAAUUUAUACCAUAGGAAAUAACUAUGCAAAUCAGGUGUGCUUCCCAGUAUAAUAAAGUCACGUGACGUGCCCAGACAGACAAGCAAGAGACUGCACAAUUUGCAUAGAGGAGCAGCUGAAAUUAACCAUUACCCUGCUGGCUGGGAAGGCAAUACUUUUUAGGCUAAGGGGAGGAAACAGCAGCACAAGAAUGAAUUUGUGGAUGUAUUUAAAUACCUACUGAAUAACUGGGAGCCAAACAAAAAUGUGCAGUAUUUUCCCUUCAAG